rnacentral:tRNA from 1 species
AUGGGUAUCGCCAAGCGGUAAGGCAUUGGAUUUUGAUUCCAAGAUUCGCCGGUUCGAAUCCGGCUACCCGUG